GCAGACUGCCUCCGCUCUAAUCUCAAGUUGUGAACCAUGGCCGUGCCAUGCGUUCGCCUCGCCCUCCUCCUCUGUUUGCUGAUCCCAGCCACCGCCGCCUCACCUCGGAGCCGGAGCCCACGCAAAUCCCCAGCCAGAGCGUCCGCGUCGCGGCCGACCGCCUUCUUCGAGGUGGACCGCCCGCCACGCCCACGCGGCGGCUCCGGCCGGUGCUCCACGCUCCUGCUGUCCGCCUCCUUCGCCUCCACCUUCGACAAGCCCCCCGCCACCGCCGCCUACUCCCCGCCGCGCUGCCUCGUCAAGGCGGGCGGCCGCGCCUCGGCCAUCUCCCUCGCGGUGCUCGAGUGGCGCGCCGCCUGCCAGGGAGCCCAGCUCGACAGGAUCUUCGGCGUCUGGCUCGCCGGCGCCGAGCUCCUCCGCGGCAGCACCGCCGCGCCGCCGCCCAACGGCAUCGUCUGGUCCGUCUCCAAGGACGUCACCAAGUACGCGUCCCUCCUCGCCGCCGCCGGCAACUCCACCUUCGCCGUCUACCUCGGCAACCUCGUCAACACCACGCUCACCGGCGUGUACCAUGCCAACGUCACGCUCCACCUCUACCUCCGCCGCACGCCGACGACCAAGCCGCCGCCCGCCACGGCCCCCGCCGACCUCAUCGUCCCGAUGGCGCGAGCCCUCCCUCCCAACGGCGGGCUGUGGUUCCCGAUCCAGAGCGCCGCCGACGUCGCGUCCAAGAGCGUCGCGAUGCCAUCCAACACCUACCGCGCGGUCCUCGAACUCUACGUCUCGUUCCAUGAAGACGACGAGUUAUGGUACAAGAACGAAACCCGGGUACCAGAACGGCCCGUUCCGCGAGGUCACCGCUCGCGUCGACGGUGUCCUCGCCGGCUCCGUCUGCCCGUUCCCCGUCAUCUACCCCGGCGGCAUCUACCCCCUCCUAUGGAGGCCGAUCGCCCCCAUCGGCUCCUUCAACCUCCCGACGUACGACAUCGACCUGACUCCUUUUCUCGGCAAGCUGCUGGACGGCAAGGCGCACGAGUUCGCGUUCGCCGUGACCAACGCCGUGGGCGUGUGGUACGUCAACGCCAACCUCCACCUCUGGCUGGACCCCGAGGGCACCGCGACGACGGCGGGCCUCGUGAGCUACGUCGCGCCGCCGGCGAACACGACGUCGUCCAAGUCUGCCGACCCCGUCGACACCCACUACCACGCGACGGCGAACCGGCUCGUCUCCUCCACCGGGUGGGUGAAGUCAUCGUACGGGAACAUAACGACCAACGCCACGCGCACGUUCGCCCUCGAGUACCUCCUCACCUUCGAGACACUGGACCUGACCAUCGUUGCGGACACCGGCGUCGUCGCCACGGACGGCGCCGGCGGCGUCCUGUUCUCGACGCAGACGCACGGGAACUUCCCGCUUGGCUGGGUCUAUCAACAGAAUAGUCUAACCGUCACGCACGGGUUGGAGGAGACGACGGUGGCCGCCGGCCGGUGGUCGUCGGCGCCGCCGUACUAGUCGCUGCGCACCACGCAGAGCAGCCUCGUGGAGGAUGAGGAGGGAGGCGGGCGCUCAUGGGGCGUCCAGCAGACGUACUGGUACAACGCCACCGACGGGUGCUACUUCAGGAACGUGACCAGCAGCAACUACAGCGUCGUGUCGGACCACUCCAAUGAGUUCUGCGUGAAGGGGACGGCAUCCGCCGGAGUUGGCGCUGUCACGGCCGCGCUACCGGCGGUGAAUCUUCCAUAGUUACUUUUAACUUUUCGGAAUUGCUAAUUUUCAUAUGGAUGAAAACUAUUGGCUUUCAUCCGUUUUUUGGGCCGUGCGAUCUGUGUCACGAGAUUUGUAUUUUUCUUCGCUAGCGGAUCCGUUAGGUUCCGCUCGCUAUCCCGCAUCGGUGCUUUUUUUUCCCUACCCGUGUAGCUUCCCCUAUCUCUUCCCCUUGCCGCUUGAUCCCCUUUGUCAUUUCGAACACUACCACGGCGAUUGCCAUGGCGAUUUGGAGCUCCCCCUCGCCGCUCGAUCCAGCUGGUUGGUGAUGACUUGUCCGUGCUCUCCCUCCCUCUGCCUCGCCCCCUCCGCCUCGCCGCUGUUUCUCCCGCCGAAGGCCUGCAGCAUCUCUCGCCCCCCUCAUCCACCCCGGCCCCAUUAUUUCGCCACCCGUCAAUUUUGUUCGUCUGAUUUGAUUCAUAAUUUCAUCAGGCUUUGGGAAUGUGUAUAUCACUCCUAUGAUGCAUAAAAGGAUUAAUUUUCGAAGAGUUUGAUGUGUUGCACCCAGCUGUUCCUAAGCAAGAUAAUCGCCAUGAUUGUGGUGUCUUUACAUUUAAGUAUAUGGAUAUCUUCACACCAAGAACUCAGAUGUCAAUCCUUUUCUCCAGUGUAGACAUUCCAAAUCUUAGGAUCAAAUAUGUGAAUGACAUGCAUUUUCAGCCCCUUGAACAGUUCUGACAAAUCUUUUGUCACUGAUUUCUUUGGUGAUGGAGGCAAUGCCAAGUGAGGUUCAGCAUGUGCGCAGUCCUAGCUCAAAUGGUGACUGAGUUUUAUUUUUCAGUAGCAUGUAAUCUGAACAAAGUAGCAUGCAAUCUGAGCAUAGUAGUAUUUGUUUAGUAGUGGUUCUAUGUUUCAUUUUGAUUGUAAGGUUGUUGGAUACUGCCAUGUCUUUAUGCCUGUGACUCGGCAGUACGUAUUUGAGCACGUUAAUACUACAGUGCUUAAAAAAUUGAUUCUAUAUCAGGGGUCCCUUUCUUAA